rnacentral:rRNA from 1 species
AACGUAGGACGCAAGCGUUAUCCGGAGUUACUGGGCGUAAAGCGCGAGCAGGCGGUGACUGAAGUCUGAUGUGAAAGCGCCCGGCUCAACCGGGCGAGGCCAUUGGAAACUCGGUCACUGGAGGGCAGUAGAGGCAGGCGGAAUUCCGGGUGGAGUGGUGAAAUGCGUAGAGAUCCGGAGGAACACCAGAGGCGAAGGCGGCCUGCUGGGCUGCACCUGACGCUGAGCCGCGAAAGCCAGGGGAGCGAACGGG